AUAAAUUGGUUACAGAUACAUUGAACCACCAACUAAAAACAUUUAGCCAAAAGCAAACUCAUGUUCCCUGUACACCAGGGGUGUCACACUCAAGUUUCAGAGAGGGCCAAAAUUAAGAAAUGGUACUGAGUGCCAAACAGUCUCAUUGUGCUGUCUUAAUAUUAUUAUUAUGGACACGCCAGCUCCACUUUUGAGGCAAACUGGAUAUAAUUGUACCACGGCCAGAUGUAGCCCACAGAGUUUGAGUUUGACAUGCCUGCUCUACACCAUAUGUGAUCAUUUUAAAUAUAUUUGUUUUAACUUAAGAGACUCGUAGUGAAUUUGUGUUUUAAUACAGGUAAAUGCAGAAUUCACCCUCAUCACCACAGUCCCCCUGUUCUCAACCUUUAUGUCCCGACUGGAUCAUUACUAUAGCCAGCUAUUGAGGGUAUUCAAAAAGGAGGGGGGAACAGCAAGACGUGAUAUCGACGUAAUCAUUGCAGAAAUGGACAUGAAUCCCAGUGUUGAAGUACGACAGACAUGCAUCCUAAAGGCGUUGUGCGUCUACUUAAAUGAAAAGCCUGACAGCCUUAUUAAGGAGUACUGGUGUCAUAGAUGCAUAAUUAAUAAUGGGUCUCUUUCUUUGUCAUAG
ensembl:lncRNA